CUUAGUGAUAUGGUUUAGUGGAGGACUUGUUAGGUCAGAGGUUGGACUGGGUGAUCUUGGAGGUCUCUUCCAACCUAGAUGAUUCUGUGUGAUUCUGUGUGAAAUGCAGUUUAGAAAUGGUACUGAUUAAAAUAGAACAUAUAUAUAUAAAUAUAUAUAUAGCAGAGGGAGCAGUAGAAUAAGCCAUUUUCUUGAGAAACAGAUGAUGAACAAGAUCAGUAACAUAUUUUUUGUCUAAAUCCCAGCAUCAUUCUACUGAAAUACUGUGUUCCAAAAACUCAGCAAAGGCCUGGCUGUCCUAUCAACUUCCUGGUGGUGUUACAGUCACCACUUAAUGAAACCUGACUGAACCUGGUAUAGCCUGCUUCUCUCCAAUAGACUGAAGUUCAAUCUUAAGUCAGAAGAAGAAGAAGAGGGAGGAGGGAGGUGUUCCCAAUGGCAUAAAUCCAACUGAAAGAAGCAAAAGGACAGAAGAUUCAAGCUUGGACUUAUUGGAAAGAGUAAAGGCUAUCUAACCUCCUGGCUUCAAACACCAGACCUAAGGAGAAGUUGUAGAUCUGUACUUAAUAAAGAUGCAAGGAUAUAUUUGUAUGCUAGCUCUGGAACACUAGCUCUGGAAAUUACAAAUGACUUCAGGAUAAAAUGUACACCACAUCAAACACCUUGUGAACAAACUCAUAGAGAACACUUCCAAAACUCCUGAAACACUGAGGCUCUCCAACUGUAUUUUCAGAAGGGAACUUACACAACACCUCUGGAAAACUCACGGCCUGUCCUACAGGGUUUACUCUCAAUAGCCAAAGAAACAGGUGAAGUCAAGUGUCAUUCUUGCUAUUGUUUGACAUUGCAGAUGAGACAGUACAUUAUAGCAGAUAUAUGCUAUUGACAAAGAUUUCUACAGUAAGUGGGAAUGAAUUAUUAAUGACCUUUCACAUUUUUCAUGGGCAUCUUGGUCUAUCAUGUUCAUAAUAAAUAGUUCUUAUUGCAUUGUCUAAAGGAAGUC
rnacentral:lncRNA from 1 species